rnacentral:rRNA from 1 species
ACGCUCGACACCUACGGGGGCAGCAGUGGGGAAUAUUGCACAAUGGGGGAAACCCUGAUGCAGCAACGCCGCGUGAAGGAAGACGGUUUUCGGAUUGUAAACUUCUGUUCUUAGUGAAGAUAGUGACGGUAGCUAAGGAGCAAGCCACGGCUAACUACGUGUCAGCAGCCGCGGUAAUCUGAGGCGGGCUGGCAAGGC